GUUUGAUGUUCUAACGUGGACCCGUGAUCCGGGUUGCGGACAGUGUCUGGUGGGUAGUUUGACUGGGGCGGUCUCCUCCUAAAGAGUAACGGAGGAGCACGAAGGUUGGCUAAUCCUGGUCGGACAUCAGGAGGUUAGUGCAAUGGCAUAAGCCAGCUUGACUGCGAGCGUGACGGCGCGAGCAGGUGCGAAAGCAGGUCAUAGUGAUCCGGUGGUUCUGAAUGGAAGGGCCAUCGCUCAACGGAUAAAAGGUACUCCGGGGAUAACAGGCUGAUACCGCCCAAGAGUUCAUAUCGACGGCGGUGUUUGGCACCUCGAUGUCGGCUCAUCACAUCCUGGGGCUGAAGUAGGUCCCAAGGGUAUGGCUGUUCGCCAUUUAAAGUGGUACGCGAGCUGGGUUUAGAACGUCGUGAGACAGUUCGGUCCCUAUCUGCCGUGGGCGCUGGAGAACUGAGGGGGGCUGCUCCUAGUACGAGAGGACCGGAGUGGACGCAUCACUGGUGUUCGGGUUGUCAUGCCAAUGGCACUGCCCGGUAGCUAAAUGCGGAAGAGAUAAGUGCUGAAAGCAUCUAAGCACGAAACUUGCCCCGAGAUGAGUUCUCCCUGAGACUUAGAGUCUCCUGAAGGAACGUUGAAGACGACGACGUUGAUAGGCCGGGUGUGUAAGCGCAGCGAUGCGUUGAGCUAACCGGUACUAAUGAACCGUGAGGCUUAACCUUACAACGCCGAAG
rnacentral:rRNA from 1 species